GGAUGCAAUCGUCUUGUCGUUAACUCUCACAAUAUGGAGGUGAUUGACACAAUGAAGAAUGGAGGAUAUUCGGCGGGAGCGGCGGCGGCAGUGUUCGAUGAUUUCUAUUUCAUAGCUUGUGAUUUUCCUCUUGUUAGGUUCGAACAUUGUAAUAGGGAAGCAAAUAAGGUGGCUCACGAACUUUCUAGGCUAGCAAAAUUUACCUUCACUAGGGAUUGGUUUGAGGAACCUAUGAGUGAUAUUGUACCUUUUCUUAUUGACCAUGUAACUAUUAUUUCUAAUUAA
rnacentral:rRNA from 1 species